CGGGGAUCGGCUGAGGCGAAAUGAUCCGCGGAUGUCCGAAUGGGGCAACCCAGUCCGAUAA
rnacentral:tRNA from 1 species